rnacentral:lncRNA from 1 species
AUGGGUGUGGCCCCGGGCCCAGAACGAUGCCAGUACGGCAGGAGGACGCGAGGAAGGGCGUCUGCCGAGAACAGAGCAAGUGGCAGCGGCCACACCUCCUCCUCCACGCCGCUGACCACGGCAGGCCCACACGCCGGCCGACCACCGAGCACCACGGAGCAGACGGACCGGGAUCCGGGACCUGGGACAGACGCAGGCCCUGAGGGACAGCCCAGGGCUCAGCAAACACAAGGCGGUGUUUCGUGUCCCAAGUGCACAUUUAUUUCUUUCAAAAGACUGUGUACAUCCCAGCCACGUCUCCCACAGUUUGGGGCGGGACAGAUCGGAGUUUGCUGGGGAGUGGGCGUCCAGCGAGGUGGGAAGGAGAAGCCCGACCCGCUGCUGUCAGAGCGCCCCAAGGCCACGAUGCUCCGACCAAGCUACGGCUGGGCAGGCCGUGCAUCCGGCCCCCAUCAUGGGCUCUGCCCCUCACGCUGCUCCAAGUGACGAAGACCUUUGCUCUCCAGGCAGGACGCGGGGGUGGGAGUCGCUGAGCGAUCGGAUGUCUGCCAAGACCAUGACUAGGCCCACGGUGGUCUUCAAGGGUGGCAGGAGAAGGUCAAGUUCAGGGCACCCGGAGAGCAGGGCAGGCCCGCGGGGAGACUCGAGACUGAACUCGAGUCAGGAGGGUGAGCCCAAAGGGGUACCAGGAUCCCCAUGACGGGACUGUGUACUCUAGCCCCACGGUCGGGCUCGUCCCUGUCAUUAGCUCAAGUGCCAGUCACACGUCCCUGGUCAGGGCUGAGUCAGGGACAUGACAAAGACAGAGGCUGAUGAUACGGAGCGCACCGAGGAAGGCACGGGGGCGUCCUCAAAACCACGCAUCUGUGUUUCUUUACAACAUUUGCUGGUGGCCCCAAGUGCAAUUACAGAUUUUCCUCAUCCAGCACUCUGCAGAGCACAACAGGACAGAGCAGAGAGAGGGUUCAACGUGCCUGAAACCCGGGCAGGGGCCGGUGGUUAAAUCCUAAGAGGAGGAGGACCCGGCUGCUGGAAGCGCUCUGCCCAACGCAGCGGUUCCAGGACACGAGGUCCUAGAGCAACAGUAGAGAGAUCCCGUGGCGCGAGCCCCACUCCUCUGAUGCCCACAGACGUUAACACCCAGCACCCCCCACCUGGGGACACAUUGCAAGAGGAACUCUGAUUCACCUGGUUGACCCCUUUCCAGCAUAGCGCCUUCGUGUGCCGUGCUCAGCCACGAUGCCCGGCCGUGAGUAGAGAAGGUGGGGGCGGGACCCACGGACUUGGAGGCGUCCUACACCCAACAUCUCAGGAGCUGUGGGUGUGCAGAGGCCGCGGGCUGGUAAGUGACAGUGGCACCCACCACCACCACCCACCCCCGGGACCUGCUCUCCCACACCCCUGGCCGGGGGGCAGGGGCUUGACACACGACAAGGACACCUGUCCCUACCCGCAGCCGGGACAAGGCACUGACAAGCCCCCAUUUCCCAUUUGGUCAAGGAGACAUACAAUGAAGAACAAUGAAGAAACUGGUAAAACGAAACACGCCCCACGCGCGCUGUACCAUGUGUCUGCGGGACACGAGGAGCUCGAGCAUCUGCCACGGCCGCGGGCAGCGGGCCCUUCCGGGGGGAGCGCAGGAAGGACGCUCCGCGCAGGGGCCCAGGGCGGACGGCGGCCUCGUGUUCAACUUUUGCAUGAACAAACACCGCUUCUGUAAUCGUCUUCAGGGAAACACGAUUUCACCAGCCUCUAGUAAAGUUGCUUUUCUGGCGCGAAAUAUCAAGACCUUGAAAAACGGCUCCUUCCUACGUCGACCUGUCAGCUCCCCCCGUCUACACCUCCGGGCCUCGGAAACCGGGCAGAGCCAGAAACACCAAACAGCAAGUGCCCACCACAGCGGGACUCGGUCCUGAUCGGUCAAAAAGAGAGAGGGGGCUCGCUGCACCCAGAGGCACUUCCCAGGCCGGGGGGCGAGGUGCCAACGGCCCUCAGCCCCCCAGUAUUGUAGAAGCCCCGGGCCACCUGCUGGCCCAGCCUGAUCCAGCCCUAAUGCGUCCUGCUGGUCUCGGCAUCCUGAGCUAUAACCAGCCUAGGGUCUCUCGUACCCCAAUACCUUCUAGAGACGUCCCCACACUUGUUACAGGAGUAACACAGCACAAGCCUCCAGUAUUGGCAAGGGGGUGAGGAAGGAGAGCUCUCCUAGGCUGCCGGGGCGCAGUGGGCGGGGAGUAAUGCCCUGCUGACCCACUCUGGGACAGCCGGGCACUCUGCAGCGGGCACACCUGCAGCCUCGCAGCCCACGGCUGCCCCCAUCCACUCCCCUGCUCGUGCUUGAGGAGGCGGAGACAGUAAGCAGGUGAGUUCAUGGCAGCCUCGCUGCUCUGCUGGGAAAGAGAGGGGCAGCGCCACUGUCCAUCCGUGGGGGGUGAAGACAGAAGCUCUGGUCCCUCCAGGGCCCUGAGCUGCAGUUCAAGUAAAGGAACCAGAGUGGCCAAGGCUACACGAGUGGGAACGGGGAGCAGAAUCCGUGGGGCGGCGAUCGGGGUAAAAGCGCUCUUCCUCCAGUGGGGCCGCGCAGGUGUCUCCCUCCCCGCCCCUGUCCCCAUCUGCUAAAGGGCCCUUUAGUAGCAAGGGACCCGACAGCAAAACAGAGACAGAUACCAGGGCAAGCCUUGUAUUUCAGAGGGAGUUUCUUAGGAGUUUUU